rnacentral:lncRNA from 1 species
GCCCGAAUCUCAAAGCACCUGACUUGUAAAAGGUGAUGAAUUGUGGGCUACAGACCCAUUCGCCGGGGUAUGUAUCCAAGUCUCCAAGUCUCUUCUCUCCCUAGCUCUGCUAUUGUUUCGUUCUUUGAUUUCUUGUCCAGCGCGUCCGUACCACCUGGAUCUGAUGAAUUAUUUCGGGCAGAUCAUCUGCUGUCUGGAUAAACUGGUUAUUUGACUAUCCUGAACGUCUGUUGUCUGCUGUCUUGUCCUGAUUAUUUCUAAUAGAUCGUCUGCUGUCUGAAUAAACUGGUUAUUUGACUGUCCUGAUUAUUUUUAGUAGACCGUGUGCUGUCUGCUGUCUGAAUAAACUGGUUAUUUCACUGUCCUGAUUAUUUCUAGUAGAUCGUCUGUUGUCUGCUGUCUAAAUAAGUUGGUUAUUUGACUGUCCUGAUUAUCUGUUGUCUGCUGUCUGAAUAAGCUGGUUAUUUGGCUGUCCUAAUUAUUUCUAGUAGAUCGUCUAUUCUGAAUAAGCUGGUUAUUUGAUUAUCCUGAUUAUUUCUAGUAGAUCGUCUGUUGCCUGUUGUCCACUGUGUGAAUAAGCUGAUUAUUUGACUGUUCUGGUUAUUUCUAGUAGAUCAUCUGUUGUCCGAAUAGGCUGGUUGUUAAACUGUCCUGAUUAUUCCUAGUAGAUCAUCUAGGGGGUAUUUAGUUGGGCUCCUAAGCUGGCUUUUAGCUUGGUUGGGCCAGAUUUAUGUUGUUUGGUUCCCAGGCCAUCCAAUUGGCCACCCGUACGUCUGGAGCUAGACCCGGAAAGAAACAUC